AUUGAACGCUGGCGGCAUGCCUUACACAUGCAAGUCGAACGGCAGCACGGGUGCUUGCACCUGGUGGCGAGUGGCGAACGGGUGAGUAAUAUAUCGGAACGUACCUUAUUGUGGGGGAUAACGCAGCGAAAGCUGUGCUAAUACCGCAUAAUCCCUAAGGGGGCAAGCGGGGGACCGUAAGGCCUCGCGCAAUUAGAGCGGCCGAUACCUGAUUAGCUAGUUGGUGAGGUAAAGGCUCACCAAGGCAACGAUCAGUAGCUGGUCUGAGAGGACGAUCAGCCACACUGGGACUGAGACACGGCCCAGACUCCUACGGGAGGCAGCAGUGGGGAAUUUUGGAAAAUGGGGGCAACCCUGAUCCAGCAAUGCCGCGUGAGUGAAGAAGGCCUUCGGGUUGUAAAGCUCUUUUGUCAGGGAAGAAACAGCAGCUCUAACACAGUUUGCGAAUGACGGUACCUGAAGAAUAAGCACCGGCUAACUACGUGCCAGCAGCCGCGGUAA
rnacentral:rRNA from 1 species